UAAUGAUCCGCGCCCCGCAGACCCUUUCCAAAAAGUAGGCAGAGUAGUAACAAGGAGAAAGAAGCUGGAGUCAGAGAGCCAAAUCGUAAAAGCAAGCUUCAAAACUACAAAGAUGCUUCACAGGGGAUUCCUGCUGGCGAAGACAAUCCUGCCCAUCUGUCACAACGCAAUGCUGAUUUGUUCCCCUUUAAGAAGACAAGCUUGAAACCCGGGAUCUCACUCUGAGGCACUGCUGGGAAAGGGGGCAGGAAAUGGUGUCUCUGUCCUCAGACCACAAGACGUAAGCAUCUAAGUACACACUGUCAACAACAGAAGGAUGCUUUUCUAAGGGACACUGAGACACUCUUUUCCCCAAAGCCUCAAGGGGUCUUCUUGCUACUAGAAACCACCAAAAUAAACCCCAAACCGCAAUAAUCACAUGGUGGGAAAAGGGUUGGCUCCACACUGGAGCUUACAAAUGUCUACCUCGGUGCCUGGACAAAGCCACACUCAUUGUCUCUACUGCCCAAUCCCUGGAAGAGGAAAAGACACCGUGGGAGUCACGGGCUCAUAUUGGAAUAUCUGGGUCCCCGGCUGAAAUUUCAUGGAUACGGCCGGGUGAGACACAGAGGCCGGAAGAGCUCAUUCACAUCUGCCUCGGCUUGGGGACAGGAUGGAGGAUACUUAUCCCAAGUUAGUGGCGCCCAAAAAGGGAUGGGGCGGGCAUGUCUUCCUAGAUGAUGUAAACCCAGGGCAUCCCAAGGACAGGUAGACCUUUGUGCUCAAGCCCAGACUGAAACUCAACAGGAACAGAGAAACACAGCUGCCCCAUCAGGGUCUAUCUGGGUGCCCAAGAGACUCCUGAAAAGAAUUAACAGAUGUGCACACAGGCCCCGAUUUGUCUCCUUCCAGAAUGACCAGCUCACAGGAGAGUCCCAGCUCUUGUCGCCUUUCAAGGUUGUGAGCUACACAGUCAAGCAUCUGAAGGCUCUUUAUGAUCCAACCUCUAACUGAUGCAGAAGGAGCUAGGAUG
rnacentral:lncRNA from 1 species